UACGUAGGUGGCGAGCGUUGUCCGGAUUUACUGGGCGUAAAGGGCGUGCAGCCGGGCUUGCAAGUCAGAUGUGAAAUCCAUGGGCUUAACCCAUGAACUGCAUUUGAAACUGCGGGUCUUGAGUGUCGGAGAGGCAAUCGGAAUUCCUGGUGUAGCGGUGAAAUGCGUAGAUAUCAGGAAGAACACCAGUGGCGAAGGCGGAUUGCUGGACGAUAACUGACGGUGAGGCGCGAAAGCGUGGGGAG
rnacentral:rRNA from 1 species